rnacentral:rRNA from 1 species
UUAAGUCUGAAUGCGAAAGCCCCCUGUCUCAACCGGGGGAGUGGUCAUUGGAAACUGGGAAACUUGAGUGCAGAAGAGGAGAGUGGAAUUCCACGUGUAGCGGUGAAAUGCGUAGAGAUGUGGAGGAACACCAGUGGCGAAGGCGACUCUCUGGUCUGUAACUGACGCUGAGGAGCGAAAGCGUGGGGAGCGAACAGGAUUAGAUACCCUGGUAGUCCACGCCGUAAACGAUGAGUGCUAAGUGUUAGGGGGUUUCCGCCCCUUAGUGCUGCAGCUAACGCAUUAAGCACUCCGCCUGGGGAGUACGGUCGCAAGACUGAAACUCAAAGGAAUUGACGGGGGCCCGCACAAGCGGUGGAGCAUGUGGUUUAAUUCGAAGCAACGCGAAGAACCUUACCAGGUCUUGACAUCCUCUGACAACCCUAGAGAUAGGGCUUUCCCUUCGGGGACAGAGUGACAGGUGGUGCAUGGUUGUCGUCAGCUCGUGUCGUGAGAUGUUGGGUUAAGUCCCGCAACGAGCGCAACCCUUGAUCUUAGUUGCCAGCAUUCAGUUGGGCACUCUAAGGUGACUGCCGGUGACAAACCGGAGGAAGGUGGGGAUGACGUCAAAUCAUCAUGCCCCUUAUGACCUGGGCUACACACGUGCUACAAUGGACAGAACAAAGGGCUGCAAGACCGCAAGGUUUAGCCAAUCCCAUAAAUCUGUUCUCAGUUCGGAUCGCAGUCUGCAACUCGACUGCGUGAAGCUGGAACAGGCUAGUAACACAUGGCUCAUGGAUGUCCGGCGGGGGGG